CUCCCAAGAUUUUCAGCUAGGGCUGAAAAGAAUUGGAAAAUUGAGAUGCUUUAUGAUGGCGCGUGCCCACUUUGUAUGCGAGAGGCAAUGUCUCAAGUGCGUUAGAUUUUGUGAUGGGUGAAACCGUGAAAGCACAUUCCUGAUAGAUCCAACCGGUGGGGAAGAUGGUGAACCAACUGGGAUUUUCAAAGGAGUUGUUACGACUGCAGAUGAUGGAGGUUUUGCCAUUUCAUUGUUGCCAGGGCAGAGGAAACCCUACCAAAUUAUAAUAUUUAGGCAAUGUCUCAAGUGCGUUAGAUUUUGUGAAAGCACAUUCCUGAUAGAUCCAACAGGGAUUUUCAAAGGAGUUACCACUGCAGAUGAUGGAGGUUUUGCCAUUUCAUUGUUGGCAGGGCAGAGGAAACCCUACCAAAUUAUAAUAUUUAGGAAUGCUUGCAUACUAAAGAUUAUGUGAUAGCUUACUCCAUGCUGGGUCGAAAAGGCCACAUGUAAUGCUUCCUCCUUCCUAUUCCAACUCGUUUUGGGCUUUCAUUUAUGUGUUUAGAUUACCUUUGUGUUUCCAGCACUGUUGCAUUGCUUGUUUCUUUUCCUCAUUUUGCAUACAGGCCUUAAGUGAUCCAAAUUGUUUUUAAAAUAAAGGAGUUUAGGUUUUUCCUAUUUCUU